AGGCCUAACACAUGCAAGUCGAGCGCGAAAGUGACUUCGGUCACGAGUAGAGCGGCGAACGGGUGCGUAACACGUGGAUAAUCUGCCUUUAGGACUGGGAUAACUCAGGGAAACUUGGGCUAAUACCGGAUAAGACCACAGCUUCUAUGGAAACAGUGGUAAAAGGCGGCCUUCGGGCUUUCACCUAAAGAUGAGUCCGCGCACCAUCAGGUAGUUGGUGAGGUAAAGGCUCACCAAGCCUAAGACGGUUAGCCGACCUUAGCGGGUGAUCGGCCACACGGGGACUGAGACACGGCCCCGACUCCUACGGGAGGCAGCAGUGGGGAAUAUUGGACAAUGGGCGAAAGCCUGAUCCAGCAAUACCGCGUGAGGGAUGAAGGUCUUCGGGUCGUAAACCUCUGUCAGUUGGAACGAUGGGUUUCUGAGGUAAUAUUUCAGGAACUUGACGGUACCUUCAAAGGAAGCCCCGGCUAACUCCGUGCCAGCAGCCGCGGUAAUACGGAGGGGGCAAGCGUUGCUCGGAAUUACUGGGCGUAAAGGGUCCGCAGGUGGCUUUGUAAGUUAGAUGUGAAAUCUCAGGGCUUAACCC
rnacentral:rRNA from 1 species